ACCACUCCCCUCUGCUCAGCUGCUCGGAGACAUACAAACUGGCAGAAGCACACGCCUCCCUCUAGGUGGCCCUUGCAGAUGGGUUGGGGAAAAGGGCCAUUUCUCUUGGCCAGACAGCAGGUGCAUCCUGAUGAGAAGAAGUGCACAGCUCGCUGGAACAUCUCGUCAAGACAGGCCUGCUCCUGGGACGUGUCUGAAAACUCUUGCCUACAAUUAUCAACAGACACAUAGACUAGAUAGAGUUUGGCAUUGGACAGAGAACCCAUCAACACUUUCUCCUCUGAAAGUAGUAGGUUUGCCUCUCCGACAGCUUUCUGCAUCUCAAGCCUGAUCUACUUUUCCGCGUCCUUCUUCCAGAGACAAAGAUGGACAAUCAAUCCUAAAGGCACAAUGAAAAACAACACAAUCCAUAUGGGUUAGGUUAGGUUCCUGGCAUUAUUCAAAGCAUUCACACUAAUGAUUAAUUCAAUUGAGAUGAUUAGUACAUGUUCUGGACACGUUCUCCAGCACGGUGCGGCCGGGGACAAAGUCCCCCUGAUGGAAACAGACCUGAAGGCCAUAGGACUCCAGACUGCUGACCGGGGAGUGGGCCCAGCACCAGUCAGUGCUGCUGUAGCUGAUGAAGACAUGAUCCUCAAAAUGCUUCUCAGGUGAGGGGGUACAGUAUGCUGAGCUGCUCCAAGGCUUCCCUCUUCCUCUGGCCCAGAGGAGCUGCUGUAUCUCCAUCCCAGACGCCCCUGACUCCUCACUACCCUGGCUAACCCUGCUGGUGCUGGUGGUGGUGGUAGUGGCGAGGGUACAGAACACAGACAGCUUCUGACUGCAGUCUGACACUCUCCAUUUACCUCCUACCUCCUCUCCUGCUUAGGAGCUCACAGGGGCGAAGAUCCACAAACUGCCUGCCACCGUACUCCAUAGACACACGGUCGUUCCUGGGGUCUGUUCUGAGCUCUGGGAACGGGGACCCACUCUGCGUCUCAUUUGUAGCCACUUCAACUGGGGGUGGAGUAGAGAGCUGCACAUGGGCUGGAGCCCUAUCAACCCUAUUAGCAGCUGACUGUGUCUUCCAAAUGGGCUGCUGGAAUGGAAUAGGGCAUGACAAGCUUCCGCAGCUGGAGGAACCCGUUAUGAUACAGAUGGUUGAAGUGGUCCAGUGCUCCAGUAAGGUGACGGAGAAGUGUUGGAAUACUGAGAGCCAGGGUUUUGAUGUUGCCAAGAGGUCCAAUCAGAGGAUUGGACCUUAGCUUGAUGACUCUCUGCUAUCUGCUCUCCAUGCACACCAGCUGGAUCGACAAGAGAGGAAAAAUAUCAGAAAGAUCCUCUAAUGGAUGAUUUUAACAUGGACAAUACUAAAGGUAUAUGCUGUAUCAGAGCACUUAUGACCCCAAACCUUUCCUAUAACUAAAUAUUUAGCAUUAAAAAUCUGGAGCAAAAACGUGAAAGAAUCAAUCAUUCUUUGUUGUUGUCGCUAAUUCUCACAAAUACCUGAUUGAGUGGAUCUCAAGUUUUAAGAGGCAUCUCUCUUGCCUAAGUCGAUAUGCCAUUGCUUGAGAAGUAAAUCUUUUAGCACAAUUCAAUAGUGCAGAAUGUGUGGAAUUAUUCUGUUUAAUCUACUUUUUGAAUUAAAACGAUUCAUCACAUUGGAAACCAUACCAUUACAACUAUCUAACUGUGUGAACUUAUCAUUCAUUCAUGAGUCCACGGCUUAUAAUAUUGGCA
rnacentral:lncRNA from 1 species